UACCUCAUUGACCGGAAGGAAUCCCUUCUGGCUGAUGAGGUUGUUAUACCUCAUUGACCGGAAGGAAUCCCUUCUGGCCGAUGAGGUU
rnacentral:miRNA from 1 species